UACAGAGGGGUCAAGCGUUGUUCGGAAUUACUGGGCGUAAAGGGCGCGUAGGCGGCCUUCUAAGUCGGACGUGAAAUCCCCGGGCUCAACCCGGGAACUGCGUCCGAUACUGGAGGGCUUGAAUCCGGGAGAGGGAUGCGGAAUUCCAGGUGUAGCGGUGAAAUGCGUAGAUAUCUGGAGGAACACCGGUGGCGAAGGCGGCAUCCUGGACCGGCAUUGACGCUGAGGCGCGAAAGCCAGGGGAGCAAACGGG
rnacentral:rRNA from 1 species